GUUUUAGUAGUUUAAAUAAAACGUAGGUCUUGUAAACCUAAAAUAAUUUUAAUUCUAAAACU
rnacentral:tRNA from 1 species